rnacentral:rRNA from 1 species
AUGAGGGCUUUCAAUCAUGCUUUACUGGCCAAGCAAGCUUGGCGAUUGUUAGAUUCGCCGGAUAGCCUGUGUGCACGACUCAUGAAAGCUCGAUACUACCCGACUGGACAGUUGUUGGAUACUUCGUUCUCUGGCAAUGGUUCUUCAGUUUGGAAGGGUAUACUACAUGGUCUUGACCUGCUGAAGCAAGGUGUUAUUUGGAGGGUCGGCAAUGGAGCUAACAUACGCACAUGGAGAGACCCCUGGAUUCCCCGGCCGUCGACGUUUCGCCCUAUCACCCCAAAAGGAAACUAUCGACUGAACCGGGUGGGCGAUUUCAUUGAUGAGAACGGUGCUUGGCGAGUUGAUCGUCUUCGGGAGUUUUUCUGGCCGAUGGACGUGGACUACAUAUUAAAGAUCAGGGCUUCACCGCGGAACCGCGACGAUUUCCUAUCCUGGUACCCGGAGAAGUCUGGACUAUUCUCCGUAAGGAGCGCAUAUAAGCUGGCCACAUGCGAUCACAACAUCACUUUUGCCAAUGGAUCGUCGAGCACAAACCCAGCUGGAGAUCGCGUGAUAUGGAACUGUAUCUGGGCGGCUAACGUGCCCCAGAAAAUGAAGAUUAAUGCUUGA